AUGGGUAUAGUUCAGUGGUAGAAGCCAUGCUUUGCAUGUAAGAGAUCUCACAUUCAAUUUUUGCCAUCUCCAAG